AUUGAACGCUGGCGGCAUGCCUUACACAUGCAAGUCGAACGGUAACGCGGGGUAACCUGGCGACGAGUGGCGAACGGGUGAGUAAUGCAUCGGAACGUGCCCAGUAGUGGGGGAUAGCCCGGCGAAAGCCGGAUUAAUACCGCAUACGAACUACGGGUGAAAGCGGGGAUCGCAAGACCUCGCGCUAUUGGAGCGGCCGAUGUCAGGUCAGGUAGGUGGUGGGGUAAAAGCCUACCAAGCCUACGAUCUGUAUCUGGUAUGAGAGGACGACCAGCCACCCUGGGAGGGAGACACGGGCCAGACUCCUGAGGGAGGCAGCAGUGGGGAAUUUUGGGCAAGGGGCGCAAGCCUGAUCCAGCCAUGCCGCGUGCGGGAAGAAGGCCUUCAGGUUGUAAACCGCUUUUGUCAGGGAAGAAAUCUUCUGGGCUAAUACCUCGGGAGGAUGACGGUACCUGAAGAAUAAGCACCGACUAACUACGUGCCAGCCGCCGCUGUAAUAC
rnacentral:rRNA from 1 species